GCGAGAGUGGCGGAAUUGGUAGACGCACUAGAUUUAGGAUCUAGCGGUUAACCCCGUGAGAGUUCGAGUCUCUCCUUUCGCACCA
rnacentral:tRNA from 2 species